AGCUCCUGUGCUUGUUGCUCCUCUGUGUCUCCUAAACUGUGUGCUAUUUGGCCUAGGGUUAAGAAGUCCGAGCUUGUGGGGAACGGGGAAUUUAGAACUCCUUCCUAUUCUGUUAAGCCAGGAGCCUUUCCUCAUCCACUUUCCUCUCUCUCCAUGAACCCCAAAUAGGGAGGUGAUGGGGGUUUCUCUGUUCUUACUCACUUAGGUGGUGCAUCUGUGGAAGACUUGAAGCACCUGGCUCGGGCCAAUAUUUCUAUGGACAUUGACACAUUCACACGUCUCAAUCCAGAGGUGCUGCAGAACCUGAGUCUUAGCAACGUGGCAAAAUUGCUUGGACGAAACGUAGCCGACCUUCGGAAGGCCCGGAGCAAUCCAGCUGUAAGCUCUUGGCUCCAAAGCCAAAACCAAUCGGCUCUGGAGGCCUUGGGGUUCGACCGGGCCCCGGAGCACCUGCACGCCAGCCCUGCCACCCCCGGGAAGCCCCCCUCAGCUUGGGUCACUGACAAGGGGCACAACUCUGCUUCCCUUGGUGGGCACACCACUCUAGCCACUACCUCUGGCUGCUGUGUCCUGGCACCUCUCCACCUCUUCAAUGCUUUUGGCUUCCCCAUGGCCUUUAUCUUAUCCUUGAAGCUCCUUUGAGACUCCUGGACAAGAAUUUUCUCCUUUUACCAACCACACCUUGAACUUCACUGCUCUCUUUGAAUCAAAAACUUCCCUUUCCCAAAACAUGGUCCCUCUAUAUACUCCCAAUAUAUAGACUCCAAAUGGACAAGGGUGCCAUGAGGCUGACUUUGGCCCUGGCCUUUGGGAGGCCCAACUACAUGCACUCAGAACCUUGGGACCCAUUGGAGAAGUGAUAACAGGACUGCAAAGGGACCAGCUCAGAGACUUCUGCCCUUCCCUUCCCACAGGAGCUAUCAUCACAGAUGCUCUUACCACCCCUGAACUUCAGCCAGAGAGAAUUUGGACUGAAGGCUGUUUGGGGGGGGGCAAUUCCAAGGGCUGGGCUCGUCACCUGAGCUGACUGGACUACCCUCAAAAGGAGGGCUCUCCACUGUCCAUAAGCUGAAGACACAAAAGGCAAUUUACCUGGGGCAGUCAUGUGCUUCUCAAGUUUUCUUAGGUUCCAAGAGGGCAUAAAUCCAGGCUGAACAUGCUUAGGAACCACUUGAAUGCCUUGGAUACUCAGGUCUCCCUUAAUAAGUCACUGCACCCUGGCCAAGAACUGUGGUUCUCUAGGGAAAGCUCAAGUUUUGUUAUCUUUAUGUUCUGAUUUUAAUAAAUGUGAGGUUCUCCUCAAACUUGUCUACCAC
rnacentral:lncRNA from 1 species